rnacentral:tRNA from 1 species
GUGCCCAUAGCUCGAUGGUUGGAGUGCCAGUCUCGUGCACUGGCCUGGUGGGUUCAAACCCGCCUGGGCCUG